AUGAGGCUGGCCUUGAGUCCUGCACAACACAUGGGACUCUCUCUUUGUAGAGCUGAACCACAGUUCUCCUGUUUGCCAAAGCCGGUGAUAGAAGAAGCAGCCAAGGUAUAUUAUUCCUGUGGUGCAGUUGUGGAAUCGAUGGAAAGAGGCCUGAUUUUAUCACCAGGUUUUCCAAACAACUACCACCCAGGGACACACUGCGUUUGGCAAUUUUUCAUUCCCAUGAGAACCCAUCUCAUCUUGGAAAUUUUUGACUUUGACAUUUUUGAAAGCUCUAGUGAAACUCCACCCUCCUGGGAUGGCUUUUCAGCCCCUGCUGUAACGGAAAGUAAGGACAUGCCCCCUCCUGAGGAAAACCUGGACUUCGCUCUCCAUACCACAGAAUCCUCUCUCCAGACCUGGAUGUCGAAGGUGGCUCAGAAUCUGAGCAGCACAGGAGAUCAGUCAAAAGAGCUUUCUGGUCACCUGGAACAAUUUCCAGGAGCUGCCUCAAAGAAAGAUGAAGCCAAACAAGCAUCUGAAGAAAACCAGUCUAAACAGAUGAAGGAACCCAAAGGGAUCACCAAGACCCAAACAGAAGAACUGCCAUUCUCUGUGGCGAGUGGUGCCACGAUGCAGAGACAAAAUAUCAGUGACCAAGAAACAGAGGAAGAUUUGAAAGGCAAAAUUUUGCUUGCCCGCCUAGCUGCUAGUGAGAGAGAUGAAGUUUUGGGAGAGAGCUGGACUCUCCCCACGACAGUACUGCCAGUGGAAAUCUCCUCCAGCCCACAGUCAGCAGUGGAUGUCUGUCCUCAUGAUGUAUUGUAUGUUUCUGAUCUCAUCACUUUUUCGUCUCGCUUCUGUGGACCAAAUUCACCUUUAAACAAGACCAUGGUCUUUGGUUCAUCUCUGGAAAUGGUUGAGGUUAUCAUGGAGCUAAUUACCACCACUGACCGGGGACGAGGUUUUGCAAUGCUCUUUGAAUACAAGAACAUCACUGAACCCAACACUGUAGAUGCUGUGAGGCAGGAAAGAAAGGAAAACAUGAUGAUGCUGGCAAUUUUAACAGGGACCGUCUUCUUCACACUGGCUUUGCUCUCUGCCCUCUGCAUAGCUUGCAGGCAGAGAACGUGCCCCAAAAGGAGCUCAUCCAACGCAUGCAGUGACCAGGAGAACGGGAUCCAGAACUCCGCCGUUGAUAUCAAUGAGCUCCAGCUCGUGGUGCCAAGUCGGGAGAAUGAAAACAACAACCACUCUGUCAGCCGGGAGCAGGCGGUCACUUCCUGCGGAGGCAGCAUAGAACGGUCUCCACAGGAUACUGACCCAGAUGUGCCCUCUUCCACCUCCGCAGUGACCACUGAGACAGGGAGCGAUGAAGUGUUUAUUAUUUCUGCUGGACCUGGAGCCAGUGGGCUGAGCUUUACCACCUACAGAAUACAGGACAAAAACCUAAAAAGAAGUGUCACAAGCCCAGCCUCUGUUUCUGACUGGCUGAAUUCUAAUCCAACGGCUGUAGGAGCAGACACGGUUGAGAAGGGGAAUAUUCAGAUGGAAAAUCAUUAUCCCAGACAACGCACAUGGAGUGCCCGCACUUUCCAUGACUUCCUGGCUCCCUUACCACAGUUACAGAAAAAAUGGUGUAGCUGGACCACCAACAGUCCCUUCACAAAGCUGGUUGACAACAGUGCUUUUCCUACAGCUGCAAGAACCCAAGGUGUUCCAACCAGAAAGGUGAUUUCUGCCACUGAGAUAGAAGGAGCUUCAGAGACUGUUUACUCUGAUUCAUCUGCCAGCAAUGCCUCAUAUCCCCUCACUCUGUCUGCACAAAGGCAGCGGAAGCUAAGCUCCUGCAACUUGAAGAAAUCCAGGUUUGGGAACCCUUACUUUGGAUUUUUAGCUGGUUCCCCUGACAGCAAACGUGUGAGGCCCUUGGAUCCCUCAAGACAUCUAGGGGUAGUAUCGCCAGGUAACAGCCAAAGCCCCACAAAUACUCUAGAGAGCUCCAACACCCUGAAAAUCAACUUGGUCAAUGGUUCAAAAACAAAAGAGCUUGUGGUAGAAACAGAUAAAAACAAACCGGUUUUUGUUAUUUCUGAAGAAGGAGAUGAUCAGCAGCCUCUGGUCUUAGCAGAACAUCUUAACCAAUGUGGAGAUCACCUCUCUGAGCAAAAUGCUGUGUAUGCACCAGCUGUGCCAGACAAACAGCCCGUGGUUCUGACUGCUGAGGGCAACAGUUCUGCCACGUUCAUGUCAAAUCUUCCAUUUUGGGCAAAGUCUCCCAGUUUAUACAAAGGUCAAGUGAAGGCCCCUAACUCUUCCAGGGACCAGCAGAGCUUGUCGGCAGUAGAUGCUAAUACUAGUGAGACCUCACAGAACUUUGAUACCUUAGCUGCUCCUACAAUAUGUGAAGCCUCAGUCCAAUGA
ensembl:lncRNA